GACGAACCGUGUGAACGUUGUUCGGAAUCACUGGGCUUAAAGGGCGCGUAGGCGGCUCGCCAAGUCAGGGGUGAAAUACUUCAGCUUAACUGGAGAAGUGCCCUUGAUACUGGCGGGCUCGAGGGAGGUAGGGGUCUGUGGAACUUCUGGUGGAGCGGUGAAAUGCGUUGAUAUCAGAAGGAACGCCGGUGGCGAAAGCGACGGACUGGACCUCUUCUGACGCUGAGGCGCGAAAGCUAGGGGAGCAAACGGG
rnacentral:rRNA from 1 species